rnacentral:rRNA from 1 species
UACGGAGGAUGCAAGCGUUAUCCGGAAUGAUUGGGCGUAAAGCGUCCGCAGGUGGCAAUGUAAGUCUGCUGUCAAAGCGUCUGGCUCAACCAGAUAAAGGCAGUGGAAACUACAUAGCUAGAGUAAGGUAGGGGUAGAGGGAAUUCCUGGUGUAGCGGUGAAAUGCGUAGAGAUCAGGAAGAACACCGGUGGCGAAGGCAGCUUGCUGGGACGGUACUGACGCUGAGACGCGAAAGCGUGGGGAGCAAACGGG